rnacentral:rRNA from 1 species
AACAAACGCUGGCGGCGUGCCUAACACAUGCAAGUCGUACGAGAAAGGGUCCUUCGGGGCCUGAGUAAAGUGGCGCACGGGUGAGUAACGCGUGGAUAAUCUGCCCUUCAGUUGGGAAUAACUCAUCGAAAGGAGGGCUAAUACCGAAUAAUGCUGUGAGACCUCGGUUGAUCAGCCAAAGAGAGCAUCUGCUUGCAAGCCCAAGCUGAAGGAUGAGUUCGCGUACCAUUAGGUAGUUGGUAGGGUAAUGGCCUACAAAGGCGACGAUGGGUAGCUGGUCUUAGAGGAUGAUCAGCCACACUGGAACUGAGACACGGUCCAGACUCCUACGGGAGGCAGCAGUGAGGAAUCUUGCGCAAUGGGGGCAACCCUGACGCAGCAACGCCGCGUGAGUGAGGAAGGUCUUCGGAUCGUAAAGCUCUGUCGGAUGGAAAGAACCGCAUAGGGGUAAACAGCCCCUGUGUCUGACGGUACCAUCAAAGGAAGCACCGGCUAACUCCGUGCCAGCCGCCGCCGUAACAC